UUCCUACGGGAGGCUGCAGUGGGGAAUCUUGCGCAAUGGGCGAAAGCCUGACGCAGCCAUGCCGCGUGAAUGAUGAAGGUCUUAGGAUUGUAAAAUUCUUUCACCGGGGACGAUAAUGACGGUACCCGGAGAAGAAGCCCCGGCUAACUUCGUGCCAGCAGCCGCGGUAAUACGAAGGGGGCUAGCGUUGCUCGGAAUUACUGGGCGUAAAGGGAGCGUAGGCGGACAUUUAAGUCAGGGGUGAAAUCCCGGGGCUCAACCUCGGAAUUGCCUUUGAUACUGGGUGUCUUGAGUAUGAGAGAGGUGUGUGGAACUCCGAGUGUAGAGGUGAAAUUCGUAGAUAUUCGGAAGAACACCAGUGGCGAAGGCGACACACUGGCUCAUUACUGACGCUGAGGCUCGAAAGCGUGGGGAGCAAACAGGAUUAGAUACCCUUGUAGUCGAAUUCUU
rnacentral:rRNA from 1 species